rnacentral:rRNA from 1 species
AAACUCAAAUGAAUUGACGGGACCGCACAAGCGGUGGAUGAUGUGGUUAAUUCGAUGCAACGCGAAAACCUUACCCACCUUGACAUGUACGGAACCCUUUAGAGAUAGAGGGGUGCUCGAAAGAGAGCCGUAACACAGGUGCUGCAUGGCUGUCGUCAGCUCGUGUCGUGAGAUGUUGGGUUAAGUCCCGCAACGAGCGCAACCCUUGUCAUUAGUUGCUACAUUCAGUUGGGCACUCUAAUGAGACUGCCGGUGACAAGCCGGAGGAAGGUGGGGAUGACGUCAAGUCCUCAUGGCCCUUAUAGGUGGGGCUACACACGUCAUACAAUGGCUGGUACAAAGGGUUGCCAACCCGCGAGGGGGAGCCAAUCCCAUAAAGCCAGUCGUAGUCCGGAUCGUAGUCUGCAACUCGACUACGUGAAGUCGGAAUCGCUAGUAAUCGUGGAUCAGAAUGUCACGGUGAAUACGUUCCCGGGUCUU